rnacentral:rRNA from 1 species
GACAGAGGGGGCAAGCGUUGCUCGGAAUUACUGGGCGUAAAGGGCGCGUAGGCGGAAUGGCAAGUCGGUCGUGAAAUCCUUCGGCUCAACCGAAGAACGUCGAUCGAAACUGCCGUUCUUGAGGAUUGCAGAGGAGACUGGAAUUCCCGGUGUAGCGGUGAAAUGCGCAGAUAUCGGGAGGAACACCAAUUGCGAAGGCAGCUCGCUGGGACGUCACUGACGCUAAGACGCGAAAGCGUGGGGAGCAAACAGG